UUUUCCGCCCUCCAAACGGACGGCUCUGAGGCCAGCCCUUCCCGGCUGUAUACAGGGCCCCAGCGCCCCGCCGGCUCGCUUUUCCCUGCUUCCCUGAAAGCAGCCGGGAGCCGCACGGCUUACUCACCAUAGUGGCUAGGGAUUAGGAGGCGAAGGCGACAGGAGCAGACACCGGGUCCCGGUUACCGUCCCCGACAAGCUAAGAGUCGAGAACAUGGACAAGAUGGCUGGGGUCCUGUGGAGUUCUAGUAAUCUUCUUACGAUAAUAAAGCAACCUUAUGCCAUAUGAUAUGCUAAGGAUGGAGGAAGAUAGAGUCUAGGUGCCUGAUGACAACAUGGAGCUGUCAAGCCCUGCAUUGCCUCCCCCUGGACGUCUCAUUAUGGGAGAAAAUGAAGCAAUUUGUUUAAGCCACACUGA
rnacentral:lncRNA from 1 species